AUGAAGAUACCGCUUAAGAAUAAAAUCUUUGCAUGGUAUCUUCGUCGAGGAGUCAUUCUUACCAAAGAUAGCCUUAUUAAGAGAAAUUGGCAUGGAAAUAUGCAAUGUGUUUUUUAUCAUCAUGACGAAACAAUAAAACACUUGUUCUUUCGGUGCAAAUUAGCUUGGUCUAUAUGGUCAAUCAUCCAAAUAGCUUCUGGCUUGUAUCCUCCACGUAGUGCUGCUAAUAUUUUUCGCAACUGGUAA
rnacentral:rRNA from 1 species